UCUGAAUAAGCGAAUAAGCAAGCUUUUGGCUCUAAAAGUCACAAGUAAUGAGAGAGAGAGAGAGAGAGAGAGAGAGAGAGAGAGAGAGAGAGAGCCGUGACUUGAAGCAGGAAGACCAGAGGGAAAUCUGGUCCGUCUGGGAGACGAAACUUGCUGCUCUUCUUGGCCACCAUUUGCCAGGGCCUCGCUUUAGACGCCUAAAGGAACCUGUUUGUGAGCUGUGGUUACAUUCUGAUGUGACUGGAUCUUGUCUUCUGCCUUGGAUCCUCGAUUCUGGACGGGCUGGAUUUAGGGGCCACAGUGCCUGGCGCGGAGAGAUCAAAUGAGACUGCAAAGACACAUAAAAUGAAUAGACUAUCCAACCAACCAAAGACCGGGGGCAGCAGCACGCCAGCAAGACAGCAUCUUCUCCUCCCCAGCCUAGAAGCCCUGUGAAAUCGAGGAUCUUCCCCCUAAAACACUCACAUACAAGAUAUGUGCAAUCAAGCUGCCAGCACUUGGUAAAAAGCUCAUGAUGCCUAACCCAGUGAUCGGGAGCAGAUCCUUGAAACGGCUGUCACUUCUCUAGAAUUGGAUUUUUCCCCCUUCCUCCUUAACCUGCGCUGGAAAUUGCCGUUGGCUUUGUACAUCUCUGUAGAGGAAGGCUAAAGUCUUGCGUGAAAAUGAAGCAAUUUACAAUGCAAAUAGAGGCCUGUGAAGUGACGGACGCUGCUGCUCAGUCUAACAGCUUUGCUGCACCUUAAGUAGCUGGUCUUAUUUUCUGAUAUUAAUAGAUGAAUUGUUGCCUAACGCUGCCGGAGAUUACUUGCUGGAAGGGGAAAAAAAUGUUUGGAAUAAACUCUGAAUGCAACAGAUCUUAUUUGGAUGUUUUAGCUGCACACACACAGAAACCAGGUCAUAUUUACAUAGAAGGAGGAAUCUUAACCGCGGGCAAGUAUCCUGAUGGACUACUCUUGAGUAACGCCAGCCAGAAAGGACCUGGAUCUGGAGUCCCGCCAGAGGAAGACCCAGCCUUGUGAGCGAAGCGAGUUGUUAUCUUUGGUUAUCUAGCUGUAUGAGUGUAUUGGUCUUCAUAAAGCUAGAUAACCGAAAGUAAAAACUCCUUCAAGAUCGCCGAGGAAUGUGCAAGAAAGAAAGACUACAAACAAGAGACAGUAAAAACCAGAAAGGUCAGGAAUACUUAUUGAAUCUAACUUUUUUCCUCUCUUAUGAUUAAAAGUGGGAUGCAAGGAAAUUAAGUGACACACCUAUGUUGAAAUCUAAAGGGGUUAGGUUUGGAGAGGGAUUGUAGAACUGCAAAAGAGAAUUGUGUAGUAUUACUGAGUGAAGAUGCACGUACAGUUUGUUGUAUUUUAAGGCAUUUUUUUACAAUAAGAGGAAGUUCCUCUUUUUUUUUUUUUUUUUGCCUUAGCUGUUGUAGUGAUGUCUGAUACCUAUUUAAAAACGAUUCUAUAACUAUGUAGAUUUGGACAGUUCCCCUCUGAGGCCCCUCCCCCCACGUUUGAAACACGUUUGGAAACGACUUUCUAUGUAUUUGGGGCUGUACAUCAAAUUCUACCAAGUUAGGCUUUCAGAAAAGUUUUUGCUGGAAGGUUAAUAAUUUAUACCUACUGAGGACUUAGAACUAGCAGGGAAAAUGAAAAAAAAAAAAAAAAAAAAAAAAAAAAGCAAAGGCUGAUUUUUAUUCUUCUAUUCAAAAUACAAGGACAGAUGCUUCUCUGUUCCAAGAGGGUUUCCUUGAGGAAGCUACUGAAGCAGAAAGGCAUGAUGGAGACGAGAUCGCCUCCCCUCUUGUCAAAGUGUUAAAAAAAUGUUCUGUCUUACUCUGUGCCUAGCAUUGGAAAUGAAAGUGACAUUUACGCCACAACCCACGUGUGCGCCUCCUCUCUUUUUGUUUAAGGAUGAUCAGGUCUAUCCAGGAAACAGCUCUGGCAUCCCAAACUGAAAUAAUUAGGACGUAUAUAGACCUGACAAAAAUGGAAAGGGGGUGGGGAAUCUGAGGGUCUGUCUUGCCUAAUUGAUUCCGCUAAACGGAAUGCAGGAGAUGUGAACGGCAGGACGCUCCGAUUCCCACGCUCGGGGGCAAGUGGUAAAGCGGGGCGGCAGCCUAUGACAGACAGCCCUGUUGGGGGGUAGGGGUAUGAAAAAAACAUCAAGCGUGCACACCAUACUCAUCUCCAUCGCUUAAGAAAGUAAAGGCAUUUCCCACCCACAGCCAUCUGCAGCCUCCCAAAUGGCAACACCAACUGCUUGGUAUCUGCUACGAACUGUCUGUUUCUGUCAAUUUUUUAACCACUGUUUAAUCUGACCAUGAUUACAUUUGGCUUUCUUCUUUGGUUGAGAUUUUCAUUAUAUAAGGAAAGUCCCAGUGCAGCCUGCCCCUCCUCUCCUGUGAAAUCUUGUCUGUAUUUAGGACCUUGUGAUAACUUUUUGGCUUUUGUUUUGGCUGCGUUAUUAAAAACACAUCUAGCUAUAAGGGUCAUUAUUAUGACUUCAUCAGGUUGUUUACCUUAAUGUGACACACUUAGGAACUUGGCCUGUUUUAUGCUACUCUGGAAAUAAAACUAUAAAGUCCUGAGCCUAUAGAAAGUUUUUUUACAAUAGCAAUGUGAUCAAAAGUUGUUUCACAAUAGUCCUAGUAGGAUGUGUUUUAAACAGUCAUUUUUAUUUAACCUAGAACUGGACUUAGCACUAACUUUAAGGUUUUGGACAAACUCACUGCAAUCCUUUUCUAAAAUUCCUUAUAUUUUGCUACAUGUUACCACACACAUUUGUACAGACAUUUGCACAUAAAUGUAAUCAUUGCAAUAAGAAAAUGUCAACUGUAGCCUGUUAUCUCCCACAUGGCCUAGAUUACUGAUACUCCCAAAUAUAUAAUUUUCCUUCAGUGACAGUACACUUUUUGUGGCUUCAACUUCUUAUAAGACUUGAGACUGGAAAAGCCUGUAUAACCACUCUUGUUUCAUUUAGAAAUUCUGAGAGAGACUUUAAUAACAAAAAUUCUCAAUUUGGCUGCUGAACACGUGCCAAAGUUUUACUACUGUAGUGACUGUUGAGAAGACCCUUGUUUAUUUACAUUUGAAGCACUGUUUGUGCAAACAACCUUUCAUUGUUAAGUGCCUGUAUUCCUUUCAUUUGCUUCAUGUCCAGGGGUGCUAUUUACCUAGAACCAUUGUCUAACUACAAUUAACAUUUACAUUACAAAGUGUGUGGUUUUCUUUCUCAAGGAGGUUCAAUUAAGGCAAUAAGAUGUUUGCUGGGGAAACCUAUUGUUUACUGAAGGCACUCAAUGGAGUCAAAUUACUGAAGCUUUUGCCUACAUCUUGGUCUUUUAUGUAAAUAUGUUAAAUAUAACAUCUAAGGAAAAUAAACAAUAUUAAAAUUAUGUGUUUGCCAUUGUCAUAUCAAACUUGCUUUGUAUCAUACUAAUGUUGCAUAACUUA